rnacentral:rRNA from 1 species
UGAGUAACACGUAUCCAACCUGCCGCUUACUCGGGGAUAGCCUUUCGAAAGAAAGAUUAAUACCCGAUGGUAUAAAGAGUUCGCAUGUUCUCUUUAUUAAAGAAUUUCGGUAAGCGAUGGGGAUGCGUUCCAUUAGAUUGUUGGCGGGGUAACGGCCCACCAAGUCUACGAUGGAUAGGGGUUCUGAGAGGAAGGUCCCCCACAUUGGAACUGAGACACGGUCCAAACUCCUACGGGAGGCAGCAGUGAGGAAUAUUGGUCAAUGGACGAGAGUCUGAACCAGCCAAGUAGCGUGAAGGAUGACUGCCCUAUGGGUUGUAAACUUCUUUUAUAAGGGAAUAAAGUGAGGGACGUGUCCCUUUUUGUAUGUACCUUAUGAAUAAGGAUCGGCUAACUCCGUGCCAGCAGCCGCGGUAAUACGGAGGAUCCAAGCGUUAUCCGGAUUUAUUGGGUUUAAAGGGAGCGUAGGUUGACAUAUAAGUCAGCUGUGAA